UGGAAUUUUACCUCAUUACGGUGGAAAAACAUGAGUGUAUAUAUACGUGCAUAUUCCCUAUAUAAGUUACUAAAUUUAUAUAGGGCUACGACGAUUGCGUCCAACGCUCACGUCACACCAUAAUGUAAUUUUAUCUCAUUAUGGUGGAAAAGCACAUAUAGCUAGCUAGCAUUUAUUUAUAUACAUACUAUCCUCAUAAUCAUCCAUAUAUGGAUAUAUAUUCACCAAAAUUCUCAAUUUCGGUCAUUCUCCAACAAAAGAAAAUACUCAUCAAUAAAUCAUUUGCAUGCACAUUAUUUAAAAUAAAAGUCCACUCACAAAUUAGGCCUAAGCUUGAUGUCGCUCCGAGGCUUUUUCUGUUCAGGCCUCCUCUCGUCCUGUUCCAAAUAUAAUAUUAAUUUCCCAACCAAAAAUCCAAAACUUACACAAAAUAUGCAUAAUUAAAUGUGAGGCUUAAUCACACUCAUCCUUGCCCAACUUCGCCUUAAGACUCAAAAGGGUCCAAACUUCACCGAACAUACUGGCAGCUUUAAUUUAACUUUUUACCGAUUAUACGACUUUAAUACAACGGCCGGAUUCUACCUUAAAUAACCGCCAAAAUUACUAAGCUUUAAAAAUUCUCAAACAUAUCCAAAACUCCUCCAAAAAUUCUAAAAUUCACAUCAAUAACUCCCAUUAUUAUAACCAAUCAAAAACCAUGAAAAUCCCCUAACCAGCGGCAGCGGCGGCCGGAGGCCGACUCAGCGACCUCCAAAACCUACCAAAUUUUAACAGCAGCUUCCUUUCAACUCCCUCUACAACUUUCUUAACUAGUACAACACCUAAUUCCAAGCCUAACCGUGUCAAUCGAACGAAAACAUCCUAGAAAACCCUAGAGCUUCAACACCAAUAUCUCCUUACCUAGCUCAAGAGAGGGUGAGACCUUUGGAGGGGUUGCAGCACGGGAGGAGGGCUUUCUUCCAAGCCAAGUAGCUCCGGCUAUGGCAGCCGGAGGAGAGAGUUCCGGCGAGAAGACCACCAGGCUUCCAAGGAGGACUUCCUCCGUUUGGCGGCGUUGCAGCGUCGCUCACCAGUCCAAGACGACGGCGGAGCGGACAGCGGACUAUGCUGGACCGGUGCGGCGUCUCCUCUUGGCCGGACGGCGGCGAUGGAGCUCGGGGAGUCUCCGGCAGUGUGAUGAAGAAUGAAGUUAUGUAGGUCUUGUAGUUCACUAAAAUGAAUCUUAUUGUAUUUUACUCAAAAAAAAGAAAUAAAAAAAAGCAAUUGAUCGAAGUUAUGUAGGUCUUGUAGUUCACUAAAAUGAAUCUUGUUGUAUUGCGAAGCACUGGCGGAUCUAGCCCUAGGUAAGAUUUGACAUCCUAAAAAAAUAGCAACGUAUGUUAGAUGAGGUAGCCUACCCAUAUUUUAGUUGUUACAUAGACUACCAGUAGCAUCUUCUAUCUCAAAAUCUCUCAAUUAUCAAUAGCUCUCAUCUCCCACCUCCCCAAUUCCCACUUUCCCAAACCCAACCCUAAUCCCAAAUCCUUUCCCACCACCCAAUUUUGAAGGAUACGAAAAAGAAAACUCUCAUCUCACUGUCUGAUUUCGUCUCCUUUAUAAACACUUGAAUAAUUGACUCACAAUCGAAAAAUUAAAUAUUUUACUCAAAAAAAAUAAAGAAAAAAAAGCAAUUGAUCGAAGUUAUGUAGGUCUAGUAGUUCACUAAGAUGAAUCUUGUUGUAUUGUGAAGCACUGGCGGAUCUAGCCCUAGGUGAGAUUUGACAUCCUAAAAAAAGAGCAACGUAUGUUAGAUGAGGUAGCCUACCCAUAUUUUAGUUGUUACAGAGACUACCAAUAGCAUCUUCUAUCUCAAAAUCUCUCAAUUAUCAAUAGCUCCCGUCUCCCACCUCCCCAGUUCCCACUUUCCUAGACCCAACCCUUAUCCCAAAUCGUUUCCACCACCCAAUUUUGGAGGAUACGAAAAAAGAAAGCUCUCAUCUCACUGUCUGAUUUCGUCUCCUUUAUAAACACUUGAAUAAUUGACUCGCAAUCGAAAAAAUUAAAUAUUUUACUCAAAAAUAAGAAGAAAAAAAAAACAAUUGAUCGAAGUUAUGUGGGUCUAGUAGUUCACUAAGAUGAAUCUCGUUGUAUUGUGAAGCACUGGCGGAUCUAGCCCUAGGUGAGAUUUGACAUCCUAAAAAAAGAGCAACGUAUGUUAGAUGAGGUAACCUACCCAUAUUUUAGUUGUUACAUAGACUACCAGUAGCAUCUUCUAUCUCAAAAUCUCCCAAUUAUCAAUAGUUCUCGUCUCCCACCUCCCCAGUUCCCACUUUCCUAGACCCAACCCUAAUCCCAAAUCGUUUCCCACCACCCAAUUUUGGAGGAUACGAAAAAAGAAAACUCUCAUCUCACUGAAUGAUUUCGUCUCCUUUAUAAACACUUGAAUAAUUGACUCACAAUCGAAAAAAUUAAAUAUUUUACUCAAAAAAAAGAAAAAGAAAAAAAACAAUUGAUCGAAGUUAUGUAGGUCUAGUAGUUAACUAAGAUGAAUCUUUAAAUUAAUUCGUUGAUUAGGAAUUGAAGGCUUUAGGCCUCAUUAGUUAGUUUUUAUUUUUAUUUAUAUGUUUCUUGCAUUUUAUUGUAUCUUAAAUCAAAAUAUUUGAGCGUAAUACUU
rnacentral:lncRNA from 1 species